GACGUAGGGCGCGAGCGUUGUCCGGAUUUAUUGGGCGUAAAGAGCUCGUAGGCGGCUUGUUGCGUCAGCUGUGAAAAACCCGCAGCUCAACUGUGGGCUUGCAGCUGAUACGGGCAGGCUUGAGUUCGGUAGGGGAGACUGGAAUUCCUGGUGUAGCGGUGAAAUGCGCAGAUAUCAGGAGGAACACCGGUGGCGAAGGCGGGACUCUGGGCCGAUACUGACGCUGAGGAGCGAAAGCGUGGGGAGCGAACAGG
rnacentral:rRNA from 1 species